rnacentral:rRNA from 1 species
AUACUGGGCGUAAGGGUGCGUAGGUGGUAUUUUUAAGUCAGGAUGUGAAGGCUACGGCUCACCGUAGUAAGCUUUUGAAACUAUGAGAACUUGAGUGCAGGAGAGGAGAGUAGAAUUCCUAGUGUAGCGGUGUGAUGCGUAGAUAUAAGGAGGAAUACCAGUAGCGAAGGCCGCUCUCUGGACUGUAACUGACACUGAGGCACGAAAGCGUGGGGAGCAAACAGGAUUAAAUACCCUGGUAGUCCACGCCGUAAACGAUGAGUACUAAGUGUCGGGGGUUACCCCCCCCCGUGCCGCCGCUAACGCAUUAAGUACUCCGCCUGGGAAGUACGCUCGCCAGAGUGAAACUCCUAGGAAUUGAUGGGGACCCCCCCAACUAGCGGAGCAUGUGGUUUAUUUCUUAGCAACGCCAAGAACCUUACCUAAGCUUGACAUCCCACUGACCUCUCCCUAAUCGGAGAUUUCCCUUCGGGGACAGUGGUGACAGGUGGUGCAUGGUUGUCGUCAGCUCGUGUCGUGAGAUGUUGGGUUAAGUCCCGCAACGAGCGCAACCCUUGCCUUUAGUUGCCACCAUUAAGUUGAGCACUCUAGAGGGACUGCCGAGGAUAACUCGGAGGAAGGUGGGGAUGACGUCAAAUCAUCAUGCCCCUUAUGCUUAGGGCUACACACUUGCUACAAUGGGUGGUACAGAGGGUUGCCAAGCCGCGAGGUGGAGCUAUCCCUUAAAGCCAUUUCUCAGUUCGGAUUGUAGGCUGAAACUCGCCUACAUGACGCUGGAUUUACUAGUACUCGCAGAUCAAAGUGCUGCGGUGAAUGCGUUCCCGGCUCUUGUACCACCCCGCCCGUCACACUAUGAGUUGAGCGCCCGAUCCGGUAGCUACCUA